GGUGAGGGUUUUCAUCAGUCUAUUAGGAAAGAUGAGGAUUUAGGCUUUAAGAAUCAGGAUUAAGUUGAGAACAAGUUGGAACCAGUUGAGCAACCGGUGCAUCGCCCGCAGUCGGUGGAUGAUGGAGGUGAGAGGAAGUAUGAGAGUAACGACGGUGGUGGUGGUGGUUCUAGUAGAGUUGAAGUUGAUUCGAAUGUUCGGGUGGGAGUGAAUGAGGCGGUGUGGAGGGCAUCCGGCAAAGCGGUUUGUAAUGAUUCGAAUAUUAGGGUUGAAUUAGGGCAGGCGUCGAUUAAAGCAGGUGAAGUAGAUGGGGCAACAGCAGGUUCAUUAUGUUGGGACGGGAAAUAUGGGGAGUUUAGGUAAUGCUGGUGGUGAUGGUUUAGUUGCACAGGUAGUGGAAAUGUCAAUGGUUUAGGUAAUGCUUCAGCUGCCAUAGUUUGCAAGGAGGGAAUGAAUGGCAUGUGUUUGAUUGUUGACUGUUUCAAGGGUUGAAGAGGGUGAGAGACGGUUGAAGAUUGAGGCUUUUGGGGUUGAAGAGGUGAGACAUAACUUAAAUAAAUUAAAUAAACGAGUGAAAUUACCGAUCUACCCUCAUGUGCAAGUCACAUGAUCAGACAUAACUUAAUUUUUUAACCUAGUUAGUGGUAAAGGACGAAAUGUGUAAUGAGUUUUCCAAAUAAAGGAUUGUGACUGUAAUUAUUAAAGUUAAAGGCUAUCCAUUGUAAUUCGAUACAAACAUAAAGGACGAAAAGUGUAAUU
rnacentral:lncRNA from 1 species